AGGAAUGGUUUAGUGUCUUCAAAAAGACCGUUAGCAUCACAACCGUUAACUAGCUAUAGAGGCUAACAAUUAGAGGAGCGUCAGAAAAAAAUACCUAAAACAGGGGAAGUUACAAGAAAAUUUGUAAUGGGAGCUGCUGACAGAGAUACAGGAAACACAGAGCUGGAGCGCAGCGGAUCUCCUGUCGAAGAACAUCUCCAAAGUGCCAUGAACCAUCUGACUAGGCAGUUCGUGAAGACAGAUAACCUGGACAGAAGUCAGUUCCAGAUCCAGCCUCCACACCAGACUUCUCACUCACAAGGAUUGCUGUCUACUAGAUAUUAUGUGUACUCUUCAGACUUAGGUUCAUGCAGAUAUUAUUCAGGGACAUGAACACUUGAAUAUUGCAAAAAUAGAGAAACUACCUCAUUUAAGAAUUUUGUGUUAAUUGCGUGAACAUUAAAAAAAAUGUCUUUUACUGUUUUUUGUUUUGUUUUCCA